AGUAGCCACGGGAAUACGAAGGGGGCUAGCGUUGUUCGGAUUUACUGGGCGUAAAGCGCACGUAGGCGGACUUUUAAGUCAGGGGUGAAAUCCCGGGGCUCAACCCCGGAACUGCCUUUGAUACUGGGAGUCUUGAGUUCGAGAGAGGCGAGUGGAAUUGCGAGUGUAGAGGUGAAAUUCGUAGAUAUUCGGAAGAACACCAGUGGCGAAGGCGACUCGCUGGACAAGUAUUGACGCUGAGGUGCGAAAGCGUGGGGAGCAAACAGGAUUAGAGACCCCGGUAGUCCCUGUCUCUUAUACA
rnacentral:rRNA from 1 species